rnacentral:miRNA from 1 species
UGGGGGUUUCCCUGCCUGGGAC